rnacentral:snRNA from 1 species
CUACCACUGUGCUAUCAUUUACUAAAUUGGAACAAUACAGAGAGGAUUAGUAUGGGCCCUUGAGCAAGGAUGACACGCAAAUAAUAAUAUAAAUAAAUUAU